rnacentral:rRNA from 1 species
GACGAACGCUGGCGGCGUGCUUAACACAUGCAAGUCGAACGGAAAGGCCCUGCUUUUGUGGGGUGCUCGAGUGGCGAACGGGUGAGUAACACGUGAGUAACCUGCCCUUGACUUUGGGAUAACUUAAGGAAACUGGGGCUAAUAUCGGAUAGGAGCUCCUGCUGCAUGGUGGGGGUUGGAAAGUUUCGGCGGUUGGGGAUGGACUCGCGGCUUAUCAGCUUGUUGGUGGGGUAGUGGCUUACCAAGGCUUUGACGGGUAGCCGGCCUGAGAGGGUGACCGGCCACAUUGGGACUGAGAUACGGCCCAGACUCCUACGGGAGUCAGCAGUGGGGAAUAGUGCACAAUAGGCGGAAGCCUGAUGCAGCAACGCCGCGUGCGGGAUGACGGCCUUCGGGUUGUAAACCGCUUUCGCCUGUGACGAAGCGUGAUUGACGGUAAUGGGUAAAGAAGCACCGGCUAACUACGUG